GCAAAGUCACAGUCUGCUCACCAUCCCCAUGGUGUCAAAAGGAGGUGGUGACCGCGGGAACCGGACACCGGUCCAGGGCGCUGAGGGAGACCCUGACCCCCAGCCUCCUACACAGCACACAGGCGAAACAGUUGAACAUCCAUCAUUUUUCCAGUUCCCUGUCUCUCUUCAAACAGACCAUUCAGAAGAGUCCCCCAGACCACACUAAUGGCAGUCACUGGGCACUUCCCACAGGUCUCAGAGCUGGCUGCGUACGUUCUGUUCCACGCUGGGUACAUUCUGUUCCACGCUGCGUACAUUCUGUUCCACGCUGCACAUGUGAGAGGAGAGAAGGAUGAAGAAUGGAUCAAGAUGCUGAGUGGGAGAGGAGGAAGCAAAGACAUCUCCCCACGUUCAAGGUUGCCAUUUACCUGAAUCAGCGGAUUCACGUCCUGUCUGCAUUUGGAAUUCAAACCUGUAAUUGACAUUACUGUCCCAUCACUCUAACACAUCUCUUUCUCCAUCCUGUGAAAUACCAAGGCAGAGAGGUCUCAAAAACAGGAUGCCAGAAUCAAUGAUCCCUCACAUGCUGAAAGAGGAAUAUCUUUCCCAGCUGUGCGAGGAUUGGGAUUAAGUGUAAGAGAUACCCAGUUAGUAACCAGUCAUUCACCCAUGUUUCCUUAAUCUCUUUUGACCUGGGGAUUUUGCAUCAGUAAAAUGAGGGGCUGGGUGGUGUUAAUCACUUUCCAAGUUUUUUGAC